GAUGAACGCUGGCGGCGUGCCUAACACAUGCAAGUCGAGCGCCCCGCAAGGGGAGCGGCGGACGGGUGAGUAACGCGUGGGAACGUGCCUCUUGCUACGGAAUAGCCUCGGGAAACUGGGAGUAAUACCGUAUGUGCCCUACGGGGGAAAGAUUUAUCGGCAAGAGAUCGGCCCGCGUUGGAUUAGGUAGUUGGUGGGGUAAUGGCCUACCAAGCCGACGAUCCAUAGCUGGUUUGAGAGGAUGAUCAGCCACACUGGGACUGAGACACGGCCCAGACUCCUACGGGAGGCAGCAGUGGGGAAUCUUAGACAAUGGGCGCAAGCCUGAUCUAGCCAUGCCGCGUGAGCGAUGAAGGCCUUAGGGUUGUAAAGCUCUUUCGUGGGGGAAGAUAAUGACUGUACCCCAAGAAGAAGCCCCGGCUAACUCCGUGCCAGCCGCCGCGGUAA
rnacentral:rRNA from 1 species